UACUCCAGCUGUCAAGAAAAGGAUGGAGAAGGAUAUUGAUGAAGUUAGAAAGAUUGCACAUGGUGUCAAAACAAAAAUAGAAGCUAUAAACAGAUAUGUAAUGAGACAAAGAUAAUGACUUGAUGUUUUAGUAGAUUUUAGUCCUGAAAUUUCAAACAUGAGGAAUUUUUAUAUGGUCUUGUUAUUUGCAUAACUUAGUAUAGUUGAACAAUACAUUGAGUUUAUGUUUUGAAUUAUAGUUGAUGUAUCAACACACUUUGAU